GGGCGAUGAUGAUGAAACGUUUCUCGAUUCUGAGUUUAUGUUAUAUAUAUAUACAUAGACUAAUGCUUUUGCUGCUUGAUGACUGGUAUUUAUGCGUGUCUGAGCCCU